AGGAAUAUUGGUCAAUGGGCGCGAGCCUGAACCAGCCAAGUAGCGUGAAGGAUGAAGGUCCUACGGAUUGUAAACUUCUUUUAUACGGGAAUAAAGUGGUCCACGUGUGGAUUUUUGCAUGUACCGUAUGAAUAAGCAUCGGCUAACUCCGUGCCAGCAGCCGCGGUAAUACGGAGGAUGCGAGCGUUAUCCGGAUUUAUUGGGUUUAAAGGGAGCGCAGACGGGGGAUUAAGUCAGUUGUGAAAGUUUGCGGCUCAACCGUAAAAUUGCAGUUGAUACUGGUUCCCUUGAGUGCAGUUGAGGCAGGCGGAAUUCGUGGUGUAGCGGUGAAAUGCAUAGAUAUCACGAAGAACCCCGAUUGCGAAGGCAGCCUGCUAAGCUGUAACUGACGUUGAGGCUCGAAAGUGUGGGUAUCAAACAGGAUUAGAUACCCUGGUAGUCCACACGGUAAACGAUGGAUACUCGCUGUUGGCGAUAUACUGUCAGCGGCCAAGCGAAAGCAUUAAGUAUCCCACCUGGGGAGUACGCCGGCAACGGUGAAACUCAAAGGAAUUGACGGGGGCCCGCACAAGCGGAGGAACAUGUGGUUUAAUUCGAUGAUACGCGAGGAACCUUACCCGGGCUUAAAUUGCAGACGAAUUACCUGGAAACAGGUAAGCCGCAAGGCGUCUGUGAAGGUGCUGCAUGGUUGUCGUCAGCUCGUGCCGUGAGGUGUCGGCUUAAGUGCCAUAACGAGCGCAACCCUCGUGGCCAGUUACUAGCAGGUAACGCUGAGGACUCUGGCCAGACUGCCAUCGUAAGAUGCGAGGAAGGUGGGGAUGACGUCAAAUCAGCACGGCCCUUACGUCCGGGGCUACACACGUGUUACAAUGGGAGGUACAGAAGGCAGCUACCCGGCGACGGGAUGCCAAUCUCCAAAGCCUCUCUCAGUUCGGACUGGAGUCUGCAACCCGACUCCACGAAGCUGGAUUCGCUAGUAAUCGCGCAUCAGCCACGGCGCGGUGAAUACGUUCCCG
rnacentral:rRNA from 1 species